UACGGAGGGUGCAAACGUUGCUCGGAAUCAUUGGGCGUAAAGCGCACGUAGGCGGCCUGUUAAGUCGGGUGUGAAAUCCCGGGGCUCAACCUCGGAACUGCCUUUGAUACUGCAAAUCUCGAGUCCGGAAGAGGUGAGUGGAAUUCCUAGUGUAGAGGUGAAAUUCGUAGAUAUUAGGAAGAACACCAGUGGCGAAGGCGGCUCACUGGUCCGGUACUGACGCUGAGGUGCGAAAGCGUGGGGAGCAAACAGG
rnacentral:rRNA from 1 species